rnacentral:tRNA from 1 species
UGGCUCAGUUGGUAAAGAAUCUGCCUGCAAAGCAGGAGACCCAGGUUCGAUCCCUGG